AAUGACGGACACAGCCAAGAGGUUCCAUUUCAGACAAUCUUUCCAAAAACUUCAGCCAGGGACAGACACCUGGCAUGGAAUAUUUCAGCCUGAAUGCCUAAGGGAGAGCAGCGCUCAUGGGCAGGGGGACUGGGGCUCUGUUAUAAGAACUCAGCCUCUUGGCGCAUGGCCCAGGCACAGAGCAUGGGACAGAGAGUGGGAAGGUAAGAGUUGGUAGGUUCAGUGCAUGACAGAGGCACACAGUGCUGACAUGGGGUGAGAAGCUGAAGACAGGUGUAUUCAGUCCAUGGCACAGUCAUACAUCAGAAAAAUUGAGGAAGAGAGCUGAGAAUGGACAUGCUCAGUGUAUAGCUGAGAGAAACUUACUAUUCAACAGCCCAUUUUUCUAAGUUCUCUCAAGUUGACAUGCUUACUGACAUUGCCAUGAAAUUUGCUGGGCCUCAGAAGGAAUAAGGGUAGAGUUGUUGGGCCAUAUUUGGUGUUCUUUCACCAAGGUGUUCCUGAGACAUGGCCAGAUUUCUAGAACCAAUUUUUGGGGCUAUUAUGGUUCAAUACUUCACAUGCUCAAGAGACCAAAUAACCAAACUUCGUGAACAUUAUUGCCUAAAGACAAAACGAUACACUAUGGAAAGGAGACAUCCAUACCCUCCUGCUAGGAAGCAAUUCUUAUCUCACAGCAUGCCCCCCAAACCCACUUAUACUGUGGCUGAUUACAAGUGAAAAAGCACUUUAUACAUCACCUGAGAUCCAACCCACCAGUUCCUUAACUUGUUCUGUACCUUCCUUAACCCUUUUUUUUGGAUACCACAUUCCAAACCAGGUGGGUGUAUAGGUACAUCCCAACCAGUGCUAGGACACACCAUUCAUGGCUUUGAUAGGCUUCCUAUUUUCUAUUGCGAACACUAACUUCAGAAUUGUAAAGUGGGAUAUUCAAUAUUGGUGAACAGAAUUGUGGGGAGAAUAUAAAACAUUCAAGUUAACUUCCCAACUCUCUCAUAUGUAUAUUAUGGGACUACUGUGCAUAUAAUGCCUAAUAAUACAGUGUAUACUAGACCUAACAUAUAUGGAUUAGCUAACAGGCCCAAUU